rnacentral:misc_RNA from 1 species
GAUGAAGAACGUAGCGAAAUGCGAUAAGUAAUGUGAAUUGCAGAAUUCAGUGAAUCAUCGAAUCUUUGAACGCACAUUGCGCCCGCCAGUAUUCUGGCGGGCAUGCCUGUUCGAGCGUCAUUUCAACCAUCAAGCCCCCGGCUUGUGUUGGGGACCUGCGGCUGCCGCAGGCCCUGAAAACCAGUGGCGGGCUCGCUAGUCACUCCGAGCGUAGUAAUACAUCUCGCUCAGGGCGUGCUGCGGGUUCCGGCCGUUAAAAAGCCUUAUUUACCCAAGGUUGACCUCGGAUCAGGUAGGAAGGCCCGCUGAACUUAAGCAUAUCAAUAAGCGGAGGA